UCGUGGAAGACGGCACAAGUUCUCACCCUCCGAAAGGGUCAGAUGACUGCUUGAGGUUAAGUUCUUCCUCCGUAUCCACAGACAUACACGAGUGGUUAUUGGAGAGCCACAGGUUGGGCCCAUCGUUUCACGGUACUCGCGUUGGUUUUCCGAGUCUCUUUUUCUUCGAUCAAUUCCUCCUCCCACGCCGUCUUCUUCUCGGCUACCAUCCUCCCAACUACGACCAUCGACGGUUGACUUCCUGCAGCAAGUGGGCUGCUCUCUCUCUCGCUCUCUUUAUAUAGAUAGAUGGAUUCGUUUCCGCUCUCUUCUCAAGCAUCUCUGGGACGGCAGGAGGAGAGAGAAGGAAGAUGAUGAACUGGGUGAGCCGAAAGGUGCAUCUGUACAACGUGACCAUGGGUCUGUACAUGCUCGACUGGUGGGAGCGCUGCCUCUUCAAUAUAUUGAUCCUUACUUUGCUGUGGUUCAUCUGCCACAACGGAUCUCGAUUGGCCACGGACUUGUUCGAUGGCCAUCUCAAGUCUAAACUUGUGUUUAGCAGCAGCUUCCCAACAGGAGGGAGCACAAGAAUGUAACAG